GGAGAGGUGGUCGAGUGGUUGAUGGCUCCGGUCUUGAAAACCGGCGAGGUGAAAGCCUCCGUGGGUUCGAAUCCCACCCUCUCCG
rnacentral:tRNA from 1 species